GACGAACGCUGGCGGCGUGCUUAACACAUGCAAGUCGAACGGGCCGCUUGGACGCUUGCGUCUGGGUUGGUUAGUGGCGAACGGGUGAGUAACACGUGAGUAACCUGCCCCCUUCUUUGGGAUAACAUUUCGAAAGAGAUGCUAAUACUGGAUAUUCUGGCUUGGCCGCAUGGUCUUGUUGGGAAAGGUUUUUUCUGGUGGGGGAUGGGCUCGCGGCUUAUCAGCUUGUUGGUGGGGUGAUGGCUUACCAAGGCUUUGACGAGUAGCCGGCCUGAGAGGGUGGUCGGUCACACUGGGACUGAGAUACGGCCCAGACUCCUACGGGAGGCAGCAGUGGGGAAUAUUGCACAAUGGGGGAAACCCUGAUGCAGCGACGCCGCGUGGGGGAUGACGGCCUUCGGGUUGUAAACUCCUUUCGCUUAUCAGCAAGCUACUAUUUUGUUAGUGGUGAGUAUAGUAGGUAAAGAAGCGCCGGCUAACUACGUGCCAGCAGCCGCGGUAAUACGUAGGGCGCGAGCGUUGUCCGGAAUUAUUGGGCGUAAAGAGCUCGUAGGUGGUUGGUCACGUCUGUCGUGAAAGCUCAUGGCUUAACUGUGGGUUUGCGGUGGGUACGGGCUGACUUGAGUGCAGUAGGGGAGAUUGGAAUUCCUGGUGUAGCGGUGAAAUGCGCAGAUAUCAGGAGGAAUACCGGUGGCGAAGGCGGAUCUCUGGGCUGUUACUGACACUGAAGGAGCGAAAGCGUGGGGAGCGAACAGG
rnacentral:rRNA from 1 species